CAGCAGUGGCUAAGAGCAUACCCACCGGUCUAGGGAAUUUGAUGAUAUAAGGGGGAACGUGUCCUGCAUGUGCCCAAAUAGCACGUGCAAAGUCCCAAAAGUAAAUAACCUGUCCAUUGGUAAUGAAAAAGACUUGGCCAUUGGCAGUAGGAUUACUAGAAAGUAAAUUGUCCAUAGCCAGAAGAUGAGCAUAGGCAGCGUUUUCGAUGUAGGUAAAAUCAAAAAGAUUCAAAUUAUCACCCAAUUGAAAUUUGGUUUGUCCAUUCUUUAAAACAGAAAGCAUACCAGGGACGAGUUGGCGAUCACCUGGACCAAAUAAACCAGCAACUCUAAGGGCAGCAGUUUUUAAAGAUUCAGAACUUGCCUCCAAGACUUGUUUUUCUGCCAAAGCUUUGGACUCGUUAUAGGCAUCCAUAUGAACUUCUGGGAUGGGCUGGGACUCAUCCACAUUGAUAAGGUCAGCACCAUUGAAAACUACACCUGCGGAACUAGUAUAAACAAGGGCAUCAACAUUAAAUUUCUGGCAUGC